rnacentral:tRNA from 2 species
GGCGCCAUAGCCAAGUGGUAAGGCAGGGGACUGCAAAUCCCCGAUUGCUCCAGUUCAAAUCUGGAUGGCGCCUCCA